ensembl:lncRNA
GGCAGAAAAGAGGAAAGUUUCGGGAGGGAAAAAAACCCCUUCGGCUUUAGCCUAACAGCCAAGACAAAGCUUAUGGCAAAGUGGUCAGACCUUCCAGCAACACCACCAGCGCGCCUCAGUGAGCUCCGGCUUACUUGCCCGACCUCCGAACUCCGCCCAGAGCCCAGCCGGCCCUCCUUCCCUCCCUCCGCGCGCAUUUCUGGAGCCAGGGCGUGCUUUGUACCAGGUUUCUCCGUUUGGAAGUGGCAGGCGCGGUGCCAGCGGGACUGAGAGUCUAAAAUAUGAGAACUGGUUUCUCUUCAUAUUGAGAGAUGUAUCCCAGAAGAAGACAUGGACAUUGGUUUCUUCAGACUCUAUACCAAGUGAAUGCUUCCAGAGGAAUGUUUGGAAUACACCACAGCACAACCCUUUCCCAGUUUGGCCAAGUCUGUGCAGGAUCCAGGACCAUCCCAAACAACAGAGUACACAAUGGCAUCUUUGACAACUACAGAAAUUCCAAUCGAGGACAUGUUUCCAAAUGCCCCCGAGGAUAUUUCCAUGAUAAACAUCGCUAUCGUGGUCGUUCUUUUAGAGGAUUUCAAAACAACUUCUCAAAAGGAAGCUCCCAGAAGUUGCCACAUUCAUCCUCAUAUGAUAAGUCAAAUAAAAGGCAAGAUGGUUCUCAAAAAGUGGAAACAUUGUCAGCAGAACCCAAGGAAGCUGAACAAGGCAAGGAGGUUUCUUUGUGGAACAGAACUUACUCACCCAAGGAUGAGUUAAAACCUGAUUCUCAAGCCACAGGUGUUGACAAACCAUUGUGUUCUGCACUAGCAGUGUCUCCAUCAUCCUGGGGAACUCUGGAGAGCCUUACAUCCUGCAGAAAUGAAACUGAAAUUGACCUGAGUCAAACUAAGCAGGUUGAAGAGAAGGCCACUCCGGUUGCUGAAGAGCCUCCUGAACAGAUAGCUCCUUUCCCUUCUGCUACAGUGCCUGCAGAAGAGCGCUCAUUGUCUGAAACCACAGAAAGGCUUCUUUCCGUAGAAGAAAAAGAUUCUCCAUUGCUGGACGUCAGCCACUCUCCAGAACAUUCCUGCCAUGUUAAGUCACCUUUGACUGUAGAAGUACCAUUCCAGUGUGAGAUGGCAAAUGAACACCACCAGUCUGAGGAAAAAGAAGUUGAGCUGACCAAAAUCACAGGCUACUGUGAGAAUUCAGAUCACGGACAAGGUGGCUGUGCCUCAACUGUUAACUCCGUCAAGCACCAACAUACCCUCAGUAACAUCCAUUGUGUGCCUGUGCUGGUGAGAGAUGCAAGGAAUAAGCUGCCUUGGAAAACUGCUGACGACUUGAGAGGAUGGGCACCUGAGGACUGUCAAGAUCCUCCCUGGACUGUGAACCAAGCUGGCAAGUGUGAGAACAUCUCUGAACACAACAGAGAGUUGUUCUGUUGCCAGGUUCCUUCUGGGCCCCUUUCUCAUACUCGCCUCUCCUGUGACCAGAAAAAUGAGAAUGGAAGACUGCUAGAAUGCCAUUGUUCUUCACCAAAGAGUCAUUUCAGCAGUGGUUCAGAGCAUUCUAGCACAAACUAUGUCUCUAAGAAGUUUGGUCCUGAGAAUUCAAGACCCUCUUGCCAAAAAAGAUACCAUUCAAAGUUCCCCUCACAGGAGGAAGGGUGA